UACGAAGGGGGCUAGCGUUGUUCGGAAUUACUGGGCGUAAAGCGUACGUAGGCGGAACGUUAAGUCAGGGGUGAAAUCCCGAGGCUCAACCUCGGAACUGCCUUUGAUACUGGCGCUCUUGAGUCCGGGAGAGGUGAGUGGAACUCCUAGUGUAGAGGUGAAAUUCGUAGAUAUUAGGAAGAACACCAGUGGCGAAGGCGGCUCACUGGCCCGGUACUGACGCUGAGGUGCGAAAGCGUGGGGAGCAAACAGG
rnacentral:rRNA from 1 species